rnacentral:piRNA from 2 species
UCAGUGACUCUAUGAUGGGAUAGUUCUAUC